rnacentral:misc_RNA from 1 species
CCAGAACCAGAGAAACUACAACCACAGAAAUUGCGAACUUUGUUCAAUGUCAAUGAUCCUUAUCCUGAUUUUGAAGUGGAAUUGUUCUUGAUGAUGAAAAAUGUUAAUGUUCUUUGUCUGGGAAGGUGGGAUAACUCGUCCAAGAAGCACACAGAAGAUGAGGAGACUAAAAGGCACAUAGAAGUGGAGGGGAUAGAAUUCUUGAAGGGGC